CCUACGGGAGGCAGCAGUGAGGAAUAUUGGUCAAUGGGCGAGAGCCUGAACCAGCCAAGUCGCGUGAAGGAUGAAGGCUUUCGGGUUGUAAACUUCUUUUCUCAGGGACGAAGCAAGUGACGGUACCUGAGGAAUAAGCCGCGGCUAACUACGUGCCAGCAGCCGCGGUAAUACGUAGGUGGCAAGCGUUAUCCGGAUUUACUGGGUGUAAAGGGCGUGUAGGCGGGAAAGCAAGUCAGAUGUGAAAACCACGGGCUCAACCUGUGGCCUGCAUUUGACACUGUUUUUCUUGAGUACUGGAGAGG
rnacentral:rRNA from 1 species